rnacentral:ncRNA from 1 species
UUGAGCCGGAUGAGAGGAAACUUUCACGUCCGAUUUUGAAGGGGGGGGGACCUAUAGUAUAGGAGUAUAGGAUCCUAUCCAAAUUUUUCUUUUGCUAGGCCCAUAACUAAAAAUCCUACCUUUU